UACGUAGGGGGCGAGCGUUGUCCGGAAUUAUUGGGCGUAAAGGGCGUGUAGGCGGCCGAUCAAGUCAGGUGUGAAAUUCCAGGGCUCAACCCUGGACGUGCACUUGAAACUGGUUGGCUUGAGUGCAGAAGAGGAAAGUGGAAUUCCCAGUGUAGCGGUGAAAUGCGUAGAUAUUGGGAGGAACACCAGUGGCGAAGGCGACUUUCUGGUCUGUAACUGACGCUGAGGCGCGAAAGCGUGGGGAGCGAACAGG
rnacentral:rRNA from 1 species